rnacentral:misc_RNA from 1 species
GAGCGGUGACUAAGGCUCCCAAUGGGAAUGGAGGUGUACCGAAGAUUGGUGGAGCUGUCGAGCCGGAAACCAAAGCUCAGGAACCGAGUCGCCCUGAAUUGACUCGGUUACGGAAUGCUAACGAUGCUAAGAUGGCUGAGAAGAAAGAGAGAGAGAAGGACAAGAAGCUAAAGUUCUCGAUCCCGCUUACCAAAGAGGAAAUCGAAGAGGAUGUCUUUGCGUUGACAGGGUCAAAGCCUGCGAGGAGGCCCAAGAAGAGACCUAAGCAUGUUCAGAAACAACUUGAUUGCUUGUUUCCUGGAUUGUGGUUGGCUUCGAUCACGCCUGAUAUAUACAAAGUUUCUGAUACUCCUCCGAAGGGUUAGAUGAUCCAUUCAUAUAAACUCGGAACUUGAAGGUGAAUUGCUGCCCAACUUGUUGACGUCAGCUUAAAGAGUAAAAAAAAUAUGAGCCUGUAAAGAUGAAAGGGUAACAAAUAUAUCUUGUUUUUGUGCCUUUUCUCUAUAC